GAUGAACGCUGGCGGCGUGCUUAACACAUGCAAGUCGAACGGAGUGCUCAUGACGGAGGAUUCGUCCAACGGAUUGAGUUACUUAGUGGCGGACGGGUGAGUAACGCGUGAGGAAUCUGCCUUGGAGUGGGGAAUAACAGCCCGAAAGGGUUGCUAAUACCGCAUGAUGCAGUUGGGUCGCAUGACCCUGACUGCCAAAGAUUUAUCGCUCUGAGAUGGCCUCGCGUCUGAUUAGCUAGUAGGCGGGGUAACGGCCCACCUAGGCGACGAUCAGUAGCCGGACUGAGAGGUUGACCGGCCACAUUGGGACUGAGACACGGCCCAGACUCCUACGGGAGGCAGCAGUGGGGAAUAUUGGGCAAUGGGCGCAAGCCUGACCCAGCAACGCCGCGUGAAGGAUGAAGGCUUUCGGGUUGUAAACUUCUUUUAUUCGGGACGAAGAAAAUGACGGUACCGAAUGAAUAAGCCACGGCUAACUACGUGCCAGCAGCCGCGGUAAUACGUAGGUGGCAAGCGUUAUCCGGAUUUACUGGGUGUAAAGGGCGUGUAGGCGGGACUGCAAGUCAGAUGUGAAAACUAUGGGCUCAACCCAUAGCCUGCAUUUGAAACUGUAGUUCUUGAGUGCUGGAGAGGCAAUCGGAAUUCCGUGUGUAGCGGUGAAAUGCAUAGAUAUACGGAGGAACACCAGUGGCGAAGGCGGAUUGCUGGACAGUAACUGACGCUGAG
rnacentral:rRNA from 1 species